UACGUAGGGGGGCUAGCGUUGUCCGGAUUUAUUGGGCGUAAAGAGCGUGUAGGCGCCAGGUAGGUCUGCUGUGAAAACUCGAGGCUCAACCUCGAGACGUCGGCGGAAACCAUCUGGCUAGAGUCCGGAAGAGGAGAGUGGAAUUCCUGGUGUAGCGGUGAAAUGCGCAGAUAUCAGGAAGAACACCCGUGGCGAAGGCGGCUCUCUGGGACGGUACUGACGCUGAGACGCGAAAGCGUGGGGAGCGAACAGG
rnacentral:rRNA from 1 species